CGAACGCUGGCGGCGUGCCUAAUACAUGCAAGUCGAGCGGACAGAAGGGAGCUUGCUCCCGGAUGUUAGCGGCGGACGGGUGAGUAACACGUGGGUAACCUGCCUGUAAGACUGGGAUAACUCCGGGAAACCGGAGCUAAUACCGGAUAGUUCCUUGAACCGCAUGGUUCAAGGAUGAAAGACGGUUUCGGCUGUCACUUACAGAUGGACCCGCGGCGCAUUAGCUAGUUGGUGAGGUAACGGCUCACCAAGGCGACGAUGCGUAGCCGACCUGAGAGGGUGAUCGGCCACACUGGGACUGAGACACGGCCCAGACUCCUACGGGAGGCAGCAGUAGGGAAUCUUCCGCAAUGGACGAAAGUCUGACGGAGCAACGCCGCGUGAGUGAUGAAGGUUUUCGGAUCGUAAAGCUCUGUUGUUAGGGAAGAACAAGUGCAAGAGUAACUGCUUGCACCCUGACGUACCUACCGAAGCGA
rnacentral:rRNA from 1 species